GUGAACCAGUGCGCUCGAGCGGCGUCUGCUGAGCGACAUCGCGGGCGGGCCAAUCAGCGGCGAGAACCCUCCCCCCGAGGGAGGAGCUAACUGACAGCUACAAGGGGGCGGGGACCGGUCCUGGGUUCCCACAGGCACUGAGUGUGUGUUCAGCCUAAGUUAGUGGGCGUGGCUUCUAGACGAAUGGGCGUGGUCAGCGUGCU